UUAAAUUCGAUCUCCUGGUGAGCGAAGGCGAAGGGAGCUUUCCCGCACCCCCUGUUGCCGUUCCCAUGAGAAACGGGCGCAUAGAGCGUUGUUCUUUCUUCUCCACGAGUGUUGAUGUGGGUACAGAACCUGCUUUCCGAGGCUGCAAGUUGAAACUCCCAACUCCCUUCACUGAAGAGCGGUGUCCUAAAAGUCACCGUCAUGUCCGCCAAAUUUGCAAAAAAGUUAAUGCGCAGCUGCUGAUUUCGACGGUGCGCUUUGCUCGGUCAAGUGGGCCAAAGAAAUUCAAGCCGUCAAACGAGUCACGCAUUCAUUCUCCGUCAAGUGCAACAAAUUAAAUAAAUGGAUUUCACUUUGCCUUUACGAAUUUGUAAUUAAGAAUAAAUUUCCUGUCUUAAUUAGUAAUUACAUUA
rnacentral:misc_RNA from 1 species